GAGCUGUAGACACCACUAGUCUCCUAGCCACCUUGUUUGUGAGGGCGGUGCCAUUCUCCCCUCGCCGCCUUACCCUCUGAGGAGUCGGAUAACCAUUUCACAGCUGGAUGCUGUGUAGGGAUGAGGGGGAGGGUUGUGUAAGUACCCUGCGUCACACAAGUAUCAUGAUACCCGGCUACUGUGAGUGGUUUGGGGUUCGGACCCCGCUGCUGUAGCCACUAGGCUUUCCUCGUGGUGCCAGAUAUGUGCUCAUGCAAAUCACUAGCAGGAUUACCUGACAGUCUUCUUUUCUUUCUUUUUUUUAUUGUUAUCGCUGAUGUUUGUUUUAUGAUUACUCUUGAUAUGUACUUGUUUUUUUAAAUUUGUUGCUGGUAUCAGCGCUGUUUUCUUUUUCUUUCGCUUUCUUCUUGCCAUCCUCUUCCUCCAUUAAACCCCGCGAGAACCAAUAUAAUCACGUGUCACGUGGCCUGAUGGUUAAUGCGUGUAUAAUAUUGAAGCUGACACCCUGCCUCCGCUAAAAUAAACAUCUUGAAGAAAAUCUCAUUUUACAGUAAAAUGCAAGGACCUUAAGCCAGGCUUUUACCGGGAUUUGUCCCGAUUUCACUGGAAGAUAACUCGUUUUUCACCAAGCUGUUCUUUCGUGAGAAUAUCUGCCAGGCAGGCCUGAAGUGAGUCACACGAGCUCUUUGAGCUCAGACCCACGGCUCUUUGUGGAUUUGAUCUCUACUUCCGGUGAGGGAGUGCGCGUGCGCGCUUGCCUACGAGCACGUUCAUAAGUGUGUGCGCGAGUGUGGAAACAGGACGUGUGAUUACUUGUCACCUUGUGGUGUGUCACAUGCUAGGGAGGAUUGAAUGACACCCUGCUGUCUACAACGGGUGGAGGGUGGCGGGUGGCCUUAUCAGCUGCGACAAUAGUGAAAGUUCUUGUUGCGAUUACCUCCUUGAAUGGCAUUUGCAGCCAGUGACAGUGACAGUGACAGUGACAGUGACAGUCGUGUGGCAGAAGGAUCAAUACAAGUCUCCUGGAGGCCAUGUCAGGAGAUAUGUAGUAACGCCACAGAUAUAUUGGAGAUAUCAUUAAUGCUACAUGUGAUCAGUUGAUAUUGGUAACGCUAUAUGAUCAACAGAUGCCGGUGACGUCACUAACGACCAGUGGAUGCCGGUGACGUCACUAACGACCAGUGGAUGCCGGUGACGUCACUAACGAUCAGCCACGUGCUGGUGCUGCAGGUGUUGGUGUGGUUAGAAGCUGACUUUUCACUGGAUGUUAACAGAGACCAGUGCAGUUGUAAGAAAAAGUCUCAUACAGUGUUACUGUCACCCGAAUACUCUGGUAGCGACACACAGUUCUCUGUCACUGUCAGCACCUGCCAUUAGCACAGUUUGCAGGUAACAACAGGUGGCACUAGGUUAGCUGCUGCUAGACACAGUUCUCUGUCACUGUCAGCACCUGCCAUUAGCACAGUUUGCAGACACACCCACUCAUUUCGCUGAACAGACGGAGGUGCUACAAAAAGUGCAGCAUGCUGUUAUUUUCUGUCUGUGUAAGGUCACUGCAGUUGUUUGUGUUUGCUCUGUUCAGCAAUAUCUAUAUUUUACAGAGACCGAACACCUCUUGAAGUGCUUGCUAGCCAUUGUUCUUUUGAUGGCACCGCCACCCACCCACCCCAAACAAUGAAACCUUUCAUUGCUCUCCGCUGGAAACUCACUGCCACUUGUUGUGACAUGACUGCAGUGACAGGGUGGAGAAGGGUUUGUUGUUGAUGAAGGAUGCGGAGAUUCGUGCAUGUAGUAGUAGUUGUGUCACAGACUGGCGGAGUCAUUGUCACAUUGUCACAUUGUCACAUUAUCACAUUAUCACAUUGUCACAUUAUCACAUUAUCACAUUAUCAAAUUUUCCUCCUCAACUUUGCUGUGUUUUGAUUUCACUCGUCUUGUGUAUGCACCCUGUACAACCUAACCUCUAUCUACACCAUCGUCUUUGAUCCCGAGCACGGGGACCAUUUAAUAUCCCCGGCUGUUCACAUCUCCACUUUCACCUGCGACACCUGGCCGCCUGCUGACGUCAGAGGGAGUUUGCACGAGGGCGACUGUUGACGGUUGCCCUCACCACAGACUCACUUGUCCGACAGGUUUUCUGACAAGGUGCCGGCCUUUCGCCGCUUGUCCACACUGCAGCUGCUGGCUUUGGGAUGCCUGACACUUUACAGCAACACAGGUUUCCAGACACAAAUGUAGAACAGCGGGGGAGUAGCUGAGAGUCCAUAAAGGUUCCACACGAAUGCACAAGUGUAGAGCGAGUGUUGCAGAACUAAUGAGUGGCUGACACCGCCACUUCUCGUGCUCACAGCCACGUGCACUGACUAAUGCAGGUUGACACUGGGGUCAGCGGGCUGAGGGGCUGUCGUCAUCAUUAGUUUGUGUACCUACAAGUAGAGUCUGGUGUCGUCCGGUGCACCAAGACACAGUCGAUCGAUCAAACGUUUGCAGCCAGGUAUCCAGAUUCUGGUGCAACUUCUGUCAACAAAGCUCCACCCGCCCAACUGACUUCAUUGCAGGCGCUUCACACAAUCGCCUCGUUGUUUGACAGAAAGGAAAAUACAGGGAUACCCGGGUUGACACCCAGUUACAUGUGUUGACAGGACUCAGUCACAGCCACCUGGCACAAUGAUAUCGGGUAGCAGGCUGGCGUCCUCCCACCCUGGUGUCCGAUCGUCAAGAUGUCUGAGAACAGUGACAGGAGACUACAGCUCUUCUCCACACCUGCAAGCGUAUCAAUGGCCACCGCCCUCCACCCGUGAGGAUGGAAGACAGGAGACAGCCAAACGACACGACAUCCGGGACAAGCUGUACAUCAGCUCACUGAGCCCCGCCAGACCUCACCCUGGCCUCGUCACAUCAGCCGGUGUGCACACACCUACCCGACCGUUCACAGUUGCCGACCCUGAAAGACACAAUAUGUUAAGAAGCUGCUCAAGGACCGGAGCAUGGAGACAUCAGGUGGUCAAACACAGUUUGGCUGAGGCUGGUUGUCAUGGGAACCCGACUGGCGUGUGCGCGAUGACUACGGCGCAAAAGAAAGAGAGUGUGGAGCUACCCGUAAACACAGCAUGACGACCACCACUGUGACGAUAACCAGGGGAACAAGAGUAAAAUUUAUACGAAUCUUCAUCAUUUGAAUGGCACUGCAAGGACAUGUAAGCUGGUGUCUGUGGGUCCAGAGCCAGCAGAGGAGGAAGUGAUGGCAGCAGGACAAGACAAGUGGACAGCGCCGGAGUUGUGGCCCUUCUGUCCGACACCAAGGCCCGCCAGCAACGACCAGCGCCAGUGUCUGAAGGGCAGAGAGGGAUGUCUACACUCCAGGCUUAGACAGUGCAUCCGCUACGUCACUAACAGACAGCGAAUGAAGCGAAAGAGUGAGAUGCCGGUAAAGAGCGAGGACGUGUCUUCACGCAUGUACAUCGUCACACGUGCGGCCUCGUCGUCUUCAUCGCCGAUGCAGGUGGACCCUAGCGACCUCUACAAGGCCUUCAUGGACACAAUCGCGCGCCAGACUCACCUGGACUCCACGGCCGUCCACAGACCUUUCUACCGACACAAAUCACAGAGGCUGGCCUGCCAGACCAUUGACAUCACGUGACCUUUAGGACGGCGGCACCCAGCAGCCAAGUGUGACUGUGCCGUUAAUAAAUAAAUGCUUAUUUCAAAGAAUGCACCUCAGGUAAAUCAUCAGCCAAAUCUUGCUGCGCCUCAGGCCUUAUGUCUCCCACACAUUCCUUCAGCUUGUUUAUAUAAAUCUCCUAUAGAGGAUGUGGUCUCCUCGGUCAUGUUUUUACAAUGUACCAGUGCAAGACAAUAACAGCUUGAGUCGUGCUGUGUACACCUGCUCACAUGUUAUGAUGUACAGCCUAGACUGACGGUCAGACUCCGCAAAAGACAAAUAUUUUCAAAAGUGUCUGCAAUACCAGGUGAUGACAAGAUGACAAGAGUUCCGUCAGAUUUCUGUGCGCCUGCAUGCAGGACCAACAGACUGAAGUCGUCCUUCGUUGUUUCGGUCAUGUGACUUCUAAACGCUACAGUGUGAAUGAAUUGAGAUCAUGUGUGUGUGAUUUGUGACUGAGGUUUUCCUGGUGUGGCGGGUAUGAAAGUGGUAUGUGCUGAGGAUUCUUGAUGCUGUGCUGUGUGGCUCCUUAUAGAGCUGCUCUUUCCAAAACGUUUACACUGCUUUUACACCAUGUGUGAUAUUAGGAAUACUUACAGCCCUUUUACUUCUCGACCAAAACCAAAAUAUUAUUGUGCUUAUUGCAAUUUUCUGUUACAAGGGCCAGCAGGGUAUUUAGAACUCACUCUGACACACUCACCACUCGGGCUCCAAGGCUACAUUCACACCCUCCCUGAAAACAUAUCUGUCCACAAAGUACUGACCCUGAAUUACUAAUCUUCACACCCUGGCAGUACUGUCAUGUUAACAAUCAUGUAUCGACUCCACCUGACACUGUUUAUAUGCCUUCAUCCAUUGCUUUAUAUUCUACUUUUGUACCUCAUCUUUAUGCCGUUUAGUUUCUAUAAGUACCUACUGUCUACUGUUAUCUUGUACCUCAUCUUUAUGUUGUUUAGUGUCCCUAGAAGUACCUCACUGUCUGCUCGCUGUUAUCUUUCAUUUAUCAUUGGUCUGACAGUGCGAUAUACCUUGGUCAUGAUGAUCACCUUGUAAGUACCCAUUAUUAUUAUUAAAGAAUGUACAGGGUUCAGAGUUUGUAAGAUAGAUGCAGCAUUGGUGGUGGAAACAGAUGUAUCCUCUAUUGAGAGAAGCAUUCACUGAUCUUUUUUGAAAAGCGUUUGCAUAACACAGAAA
rnacentral:misc_RNA from 1 species